rnacentral:rRNA from 1 species
CCUACGGGGGGCAGCAGUGAGGAAUAUUGGUCAAUGGGCGCGCGCCUGAACCAGCCAAGUAGCGUGAAGGAUGACUGCCUUACGGGUUGUAAACUUCUUUUAUAAAGGAAUACAGUGAGGCACGUGUGCCUUUUUGUAUGUACUUUAUGAAUAAGGAUCGGCUAACUCCGUGCCAGCAGCGGCGGUAAUACGGAGGAUCCGAGAGUUAUCCGGAUUUAUUGGGUUUAAAGGGAGCGUCGAUGGGUUGUUAAGUCAGUUGUGAAAGUUUGCGGCUCAACCGUAAAAUUGCAAUUGAUACUGGCAGGCUUGAGUACAGUUGAGGUAGGCGGAAUUCGUGGUGUAGCGGUGAAAUGCUUAGAUAUCACGAAGAACUCCGAUUGCGAAGGCAGCUUACUAAACUGCAACUGACAUUGAUGCUCGAAAGUGUGGGUAUCAAACAGGAUUAGAUACCCCAGUAGUC